UGUCUCCUUUCCCCAAUCAGUGAAACUGAUCUCUCCGUGAAGAAGCGGAGAUAGAGCUAUAAGACGAGAAGACCCCAUGGAGCUUUAAACCCAGCAAUUAUAUCCAUUUAAAUAUUCCCCUAUAAAUAAUAGAACCCUACUUGUCUGGUUUUAGGUUGGGGUGACCGCGGAGCACAAAUUAACCUCCACGAUGAAUGGGUUAACUCCCUUAUCCAAGAGUCACACCUCUAAGAAUUAAAAAUUUAACAUAAGCUGAUCCGACCAUCGAUCAACGAACCAAGUUACCCUGGGGAUAACAGCGCAAUCCACUUUAAGAGCCCCUAUCGACAAGUGGGUUU
rnacentral:rRNA from 1 species